rnacentral:rRNA from 1 species
AAAACUUUCAACAACGGAUCUCUUGGUUCUGGCAUCGAUGAAGAACGCAGCGAAAUGCGAUAAGUAAUGUGAAUUGCAGAAUUCAGUGAAUCAUCGAAUCUUUGAACGCACAUUGCGCCCUUUGGAAAUUCCGAAGGGCAUGCCUGUUCGAGCGUCAUUA